rnacentral:rRNA from 1 species
GUGUCAGCAGCCGCGGUAAUACGUGGCCGGGGGGCGUUGUCCGGAAUUACUGGGCGUAAAGGGCGUGUAGGCGGCCCUUCAAGUCGGCUGUGAAAGUCCCCGGCUCAACCGGGGGAUUGCAGUCGAAACUGGGGGGCUUGAGUGCAGGAGAGGGGGGUGGAAUUCCCGGUGGAGCGGUGAUAUGCGUAGAUAUCGGGAGGAACACCGGUGGCGAAGGCGACCUUCUGGCCUGUUACUGACGCUGAGGCGCGAAAGCCGGGGGAGCAAACAGGAUUAGAUACCCUGGUAGUCCCGGCCGUAAACGCUGGGUACUAGGUGUAGGGGGCUUUGAUGCCUUCUGUGCCGUAGUUAAGGCAUUAAGUACCCCGCCUGGGGAGUACGAUCGCAAGGUUGAAACUCAAAGGAAUUGACGG